AAUUUCAACCAGAUGUUCUAUUUUAACCUAAAUGGAAAGGCCCAGGCCCUUGAAUGUUUAUAAAAAAUUAAUUGCAUUUUUAAGAAUACUAAAUUUGAUUCCAUUGCUGCUAGAGCCACAUCAAAAUGUCUGUUAUGUGAUUGGUAAUCAAUGUCAACAUGAGUAUCUUGACAUUUUUUAUCUAGAAAUAUCAAUAACUAUGAUGCACAGUGGAUUAAAUUGCAUUUAACUUGACACUUCCAGUACCAUGUGACUUAUAAUCAAAAUACCACAUAACAUCAAAUUCACUCAUCUGAAACGAGUAACAAUUUGCAUCAUUACACAUUCGGAUUCCAAUUAUUAAUACACGUGUUUGUUUCUGAAUGCGUUGACUAUACUAAGUGACAUUUUGGACAUCAUUAUUUACAGAUUAAAUAAGCGCCCACAAAAACACAUCCAUCUGUUAUCAAAGUCGGAAGUGGAAUGAUAAGUUCAACUGAAUUGCUGGGGCGGCUUGGCAUCGACGACCUCGACCUCAUCUUAAGGGAAAGGAGACUCCGCUGGUAUGGCCACGUUGUCAGAUCCAGCAGUGCAGUUAAGUGCGCUUUAAACAUACAAGUUCCUGGGAGACGUAGAGUUGGUCGGCCAAUGCUAUCUUGUAGAGAGUUGACGGAGAAAGAUCGUAGAGAAUGGAAGCUCUCAACUGCCGACCCUCAAGACCGGACAGAAUGGAGAUCUGAGGUGAGAUCUGCCAUGCGUGCAGCCAGCCAGAUACCUGGAAGGGGGCCCAUUAGUGUGGACACUACCCGUGAUACUGCACGGAAAUAAAAAGGAACCGACAACAACAACAACAAAUUUACUUGUCAAGAAAUUUUAGGCAUUAUUGAUGAAGUCAAGUUCUCUCUCCCCCCCCCCCCCCCCUAUAAACGAUGUCACAUGCCUGAUUGUAUCACAUGCUUUCAUUGUGCUUUUAAUUCUAGGUGUCUGUUGUUUUUAAAACAGAUUACUAUUGAAAUCC